rnacentral:rRNA from 1 species
GGGUUGUGAGGUUAAGCGACUAAGCGUACACGGUGGAUGCCCUGGCAGUCAGAGGCGAUGAAGGGCGUGCUAAUCUGCGAUAAGCGCCGGUAAGGUGAUAUGAACCGUUAUAACCGGCGAUACCCGAAUGGGGAAACCCAGUGUGACUCGUCACACUAUCAUUAACUGAAUCCAUAGGUUAAUGAGGCGAACCGGGGGAACUGAAACAUCUAAGUACCCCGAGGAAAAGAAAUCAACCGAGAUUCCCCCAGUAGCGGCGAGCGAACGGGGAGGAGCCCAGAGCCUGAAUCAGCAUGUGUGUUAGUGGAAGCGUCUGGAAAGGCGCGCGAUACAGGGUGACAGCCCCGUACACAAAAGCGUAUGUGCUGUGAGCUCGAUGAGUAGGGCGGGACACGUGGUAUCCUGUCUGAAUAUGGGGGGACCAUCCUCCAAGGCUAAAUACUCCUGACUGACCGAUAGUGAACCAGUACCGUGAGGGAAAGGCGAAAAGAACCCCGGCGAGGGGAGUGAAAAAGAACCUGAAACCGUGUACGUACAAGCAGUGGGAGCACCCUUUGGGGUGUGACUGCGUACCUUUUGUAUAAUGGGUCAGCGACUUAUAUUCUGUAGCAAGGUUAACCGAAUAGGGGAGCCGGAGGGAAACCGAGUCUUAAUUGGGCGUUAAGUUGCAGGGUAUAGACCCGAAACCCGGUGAUCUAGCCAUGGGCAGGUUGAAGGUUGGGUAACACUAACUGGAGGACCGAACCGACUAAUGUUGAAAAAUUAGCGGAUGACCUGUGGCUGGGGGUGAAAGGCCAAUCAAACCGGGAGAUAGCUGGUUCUCCCCGAAAGCUAUUUAGGUAGCGCCUCGUGAAUUCAUCUCCGGGGGUAGAGCACUGUUUCGGCUAGGGGGGCAUCCCGACUUACCAACCCGAUGCAAACUGCGAAUACCGGAGAAUGUUAUCACGGGAGACACACGGCGGGUGCUAACGUCCGUCGUGAAGAGGGAAACAACCCAGACCGCCAGCUAAGGUCCCAAAGUCAUGGUUAAGUGGGAAACGAUGUGGGAAGGCCCAGACAGCCAGGAUGUUGGCUUAGAAGCAGCCAUCAUUUAAAGAAAGCGUAAUAGCUCACUGGUCGAGUCGGCCUGCGCGGAAGAUGUAACGGGGCUAAACCAUGCACCGAAGCUGCGGCAGCGACACUCAGGUGU